rnacentral:lncRNA from 1 species
AUGCAUAUCACCUGCCUAUUAGGGUUUCCCCCCCCCAAGUCAUGGGACUUGCCCCUUGUUAUACUGGUGGGGGGGGCACCAUAUGUUUUUCAGGGUAGGGCCUCUGAAGGUCUUGAUCCGGCCCUGGUGCCAUUGGUUCCUCCUGCUCAGGGGACAGAAAGCCGCCCCCUCGGCCCCUCAGAGGAGGCGCCCAAGACCCGCAGGGCCCUUUCGCAGCCCUUCCGGGGGCCCGACGGAGCGAAGCCGUCUCUCCGCCACCCGGUCAGCGACUCCCUCACCCCACCCCGGGCCACGAGGCAGCGGCCCGGCAGCAGCCCCGGACUUCUCCCCGGCGCCCUCCCGGUGCCUCCUGGUACUGCUCGCCCCGAGGUCUCCUGGCAGCCCCACUCUCUCCACACACACACCCGCGCGCCCCCAAGGCUGUGCUCUGCCAGCUGCGGCCUGGCUCCACACAGGGACCCGUGGCCAGCUGGCCUGGCACCGAGCCCUCUCGCCCUCCCGACACGGCCCCGGGAGCGGAGCUGGCGCGGGAGAGGAGCAUCGCGGAGGGGGGCUCAGGUGCCCCGCGUCCCGCCCAGGCCUGGGAGCAGGUUCCGGGCAGCGACCCUGCCGGCCUUGCCUCGCUCUCGGCCGGAGAGAAGGAGGCGGCCUCCCUGCGCGGGCGCUGAGCGGGGCUUGGGAGCGCGCCCGGCCCCUUUCCUCCUCCCUCCCUCCCUCCUUCCCUCCCGCCGGGGCACGGCCAUCUCUGGCUCCACCGGCGGCAUCUGCCUCUGGCGCCUCUUGCAGAAGCCACGGCUCCGCCCCGGGCUCGACGCCGCCCAGGUGGGGCCGGCCGACGGACUAGAAGCAUCGCCGCUUCCCCGGAGGCUGUGUGGCCAGGGAGCCGCCCGCCCGCCCGCCCGCCCGCUCGGCGUUCCCCUCCUUGCGGAGGCUCUUCCGAGGCGCGGUCCGGCCGACGGGGCCCGGCGGCUCCCCGACGGACCAUGUUUCAGCGGCACCACCGCAGCCGAGUGA